rnacentral:lncRNA from 1 species
GACAACAUAAAGCAGAGCUGGAAGCUGUGCCAAAUAGGUCAUAACCGUGGAACAAGACUUGGCAGCUGGCAGAAAAAUGGAGAGAUACAUUAAUGAUAAAACAUCUUGGGAGUUGAGGGAAACAAAGGAGGAAUGAAUUAAGAGCAGGAGAAAGACUGCUGUAUGGCUGAGUGUCAUUUGGUGAGGAAAUCAGGCUGAAACUGGAGAGACCAGGCCAAACCCAACAGCAGUACUGGGAGCCUUUCAAUUGUGUCAUUCUGACACUGAGUCGAAGUGG